GCUAAUUGCUGCUUUGUACUGUGUUUCACGUAGUUUCAUUUUGCUCCCUCUCCCUUCUUCUUUAAAGCGUAAGCAUCUUCGGUAUAUGGAUAUAACUUCAAUCGGCUCUUUAUUUCAAAGCAUGAGAGUGUAUGUGAAUAUAUAUGUGAUCAUCCAUGUGCAUACUUCUUCAUGCGUAAGAGGUACUGAAUUUUUUUUCUUCUGCAGGUGUCAAGCUGGUUUAAAUUGUUACAUCAGCUGUGAAUUUUACACAGUGCCCAGACUGAGAAAAACCGGAGCGGGAGCGUGUGCUAUCAUCACUGGAAGGACAGACAAGUAAAAGUAAUUGCUUCAGGAUGUCUUAUAAGGCAAAUCCGUUGUAUGACAUGUAUUUUUAUACCUUCUAAACGCAAGGGCACCUGUUUAACAAUCUGGCAAGGCAGGAUCCUGGAAGCCUUGGGAACCUGGACAGCUGGAACUGAGACACCAGAGGCUGUCAUUUGUACUCUCUUAAAGAAAAUCAUCUGCGAGGGAAUUUCUGCACAGGCCCGGUAG
rnacentral:lncRNA from 1 species